rnacentral:misc_RNA from 1 species
AGUUAAACAGUACGUGAAAUUGUUGAAAGGGAAACGAUUGAAGCCAGUCGUACCUUCGGGUAAUCAGCCUUUCGGGUGCGAUUCUGUGGAGUGUGAGGAGCUUAAACACCUUCAUGUUUUGCAUAUUCGUACUCUUGGGUGUACUUGCCCGUGUGGUUGGUUAACAUCAAUUUUGGUGGUCAUAAAAUGACUGGAGGAAUGUAGCUUCGAUCUUGUAUUGAAGUGUUAUAGCCUUCGGUAGAUGUGAUGAUCGAGAUUGAGGAUUGCAACGGAUACCCUUCGGGGCUACCUGUCUGGUCUCUGAUCGUUGCUCUGGUGCCGAAAGCUUGCUUACGGUUAUCAAAGUCGAUGGUCAAUAGGUUAGAACGGGUUAAAUUCGUUAAGGAUGUUGACGUAAUGGCUUUAAA